CCUACGGGAGGCAGCAGUGGGGAAUAUUGCGCAAUGGGCGAAAGCCUGACGCAGCGACGCCGCGUGAGGGAUGAAGGUCUUCGGAUCGUAAACCUCUGUCAGCAGGGAAGAACGGUCACUGUGCUAAUCAGCAGUGAAUUGACGGUACCUGCAAAGGAAGCACCGGCUAACUCCGUGCCAGCAGCCGCGGUAAUACGGAGGGUGCGAGCGUUAAUCGGAAUUACUGGGCGUAAAGCGCUCGUAGGCGGUAUGUCAAGUCAAGGGUGAAAUCCCCGCGCUCAACGUGGGAACUGCCUUUGAAACUGCCUUGCUGGAAUGCGGAUGCCGUGGGAGGAAUGUGUGGUGUAGCGGUGAAAUGCAUAGAUAUCACACAGAACACCGAUUGCGAAGGCAUCUCACGAAUCCGCGAUUGACGCUGAUGCACGAAAGCGUGGGUAUCAAACAGGAUUAGAUACCCCUGUAGUC
rnacentral:rRNA from 1 species